rnacentral:rRNA from 1 species
UAGGUGGCAAGCGUUGUCCGGAAUUACUGGGUGUAAAGGGAGCGCAGGCGGGUGCGCAAGUUGGAAGUGAAACUCAUGGGCUCAACCCAUGACCUGCUUUCAAAACUGCGCGUCUUGAGUGGUGUAGAGGUAGGCGGAAUUCCCGGUGUAGCGGUGGAAUGCGUAGAUAUCGGGAGGAACACCAGUGGCGAAGGCGGCCUACUGGGCACUAACUGACGCUGAGGCUCGAAAGCAUGGGUAGCAAA